AUUGAACGCUGGCGGCAUGCUUUACACAUGCAAGUCGAACGGCAGCGCGGGCUUCGGCCUGGCUGCGAGUGGCGAACGGGUGAGUAAUGCAUCGGAACGUGCCCAGUCGUGGGGGAUAGCCCGGCGAAAGCCGGAUUAAUACCGCAUACGACCUGAGGUUGAAAGCGGGGGACCGAAAGUCCGCGCGCUAUUGGAGCGGCCGAUGUCGGAUUAGCUAGUUGGUGGGGUAAAGGCUUACCAAGGCGACGAUCCGUAGCUGGUCUGAGAGGACGACCAGCCACCCUGGGACUGAGACACGGCCCAGACUCCUACGGGAGGCAGCAGUGGGGAAUUUUGGACAAUGGGGGCAACCCUGAUCCAGCCAUGCCGCGUGCGGGAAGAAGGCCUUCGGGUUGUAAACCGCUUUUGUUCGGGAAGAAAGCCUCUGGGCUAAUACCCCGGGGGGAUGACGGUACCGGAAGAAUAAGCACCGGCUAACUACGUG
rnacentral:rRNA from 1 species